rnacentral:rRNA from 1 species
GACGAACGCUGGCGGCGUGCCUAAUACAUGCAAGUCGAGCGGAAGUUGGAGAGCUUGCUCUUCAACUUUAGCGGCGGACGGGUGAGUAACACGUGGGCAACCUGCCCUGCAGAUCGGGAUAACUCCGGGAAACCGGUGCUAAUACCGAAUAGUUUUCGCCACCUCCUGGUGGCGUACGGAAAGACGGUUUCGGCUGUCACUGCAGGAUGGGCCCGCGGCGCAUUAGCUAGUUGGUGGGGUAACGGCCCACCAAGGCAACGAUGCGUAGCCGACCUGAGAGGGUGAUCGGCCACACUGGGAAUGAGACACGGCCCAGAAUCCUACGGGAGGCAGCAGUAGGGAAUCUUCCGCAAUGGACGAAAGUCUGACGGAGCAACGCCGCGUGAGUGACGAAGGGUUUCGGAUCGUAAAACUCUGUUGUGAGGGAAGAACAAGUACCAACUAACUACUGGUACCUUGACGGUACCUCACCAGAAAGCCACGGCUAACUACGUGCCAGCAGCCGCGGUAAAAC